rnacentral:rRNA from 1 species
UACGUAGGGUGCAAGCGUUAAUCGGAAUUACUGGGCGUAAAGGGUGCGCAGGCGGUUUGUUAAGUCAGCUGUGAAAUCCCCGGGCUUAACCUGGGAAUGGCAGUUGAGACUGGCAGGCUAGAGUGUGUCAGAGGGGGGUCGAAUUCCACGUGUAGCAGUGAAAUGCGUAGAGAUGUGGAGGAACACCGAUGGCGAAGGCAGCCCCCUGGGAUAACACUGACGCUCAAGCACGAAAGCGUGGGGAGCAAACAGG